UUUCUACUACCCCAUUUUGUUGUGUUGUUCUAGGAGCUGAAAAAUUAUGAUUGAUUCCAUAUUUGUCACAAUAUUUCUCAAACAAAUGGUUUUCAAAUUCAGUUCCAUGGUCACUUCUUAUAGAUGAGAUGCAAAAGCCUUUUUCAUUUUGAACCAUCUUACUAAAUGAAAUGAAUUUUUUAAAAGUUUCAUCUUUGUGAGCAAG
rnacentral:misc_RNA from 1 species